AAAUAGAUACCCUGGUAGUCCACGCCGUAAACGAUGAGUGCUAAGUGUUAGGGGGUUUCCGCCCCUUAGUGCUGCAGCUAACGCAUUAAGCACUCCGCCUGGGGAGUACGGUCGCAAGACUGAAACUCAAAGGAAUUGACGGGGGCCCGCACAAGCGGUGGAGCAUGUGGUUUAAUUCGAAGCAACGCGAAGAACCUUACCAGGUCUUGACAUCCCACUGACCGCUAUGGAGACAUAGUUUUCCCUUCGGGGACAGUGGUGACAGGUGGUGCAUGGUUGUCGUCAGCUCGUGUCGUGAGAUGUUGGGUUAAGUCCCGCAACGAGCGCAACCCUUGAUCUUAGUUGCCAUCAUUUAGUUGGGCACUCUAAGGUGACUGCCGGUGACAAACCGGAGGAAGGUGGGGAUGACGUCAAAUCAUCAUGCCCCUUAUGACCUGGGCUACACACGUGCUACAAUGGACGGUACAAACGGUUGCCAACCCGCGAGGGGGAGCUAAUCCGAAUAAAACCGUUCUCAGUUCGGAUUGUAGGCUGCAACUCGCCUA
rnacentral:rRNA from 1 species